rnacentral:rRNA from 1 species
UACGUAGGGCGCGAGCGUUAUCCGGAAUUAUUGGGCGUAAAGAGCUCGUAGGCGGUUUGUCACGUCUGCUGUGAGAACUGGAGGCUCAACCUCCAGCCUGCAGUGGGUACGGGCAGACUAGAGUGCGGUAGGGGAGAUUGGAAUUCCUGGUGUAGCGGUGGAAUGCGCAGAUAUCAGGAGGAACACCGAUGGCGAAGGCAGAUCUCUGGGCCGUAACUGACGCUGAGGAGCGAAAGCAUGGGGAGCGAACAGG